CCCUUUCCCCCUCACAUUUCCCUCCCUUUUCCCCUCCCAUUUUUCCCUCACGUUUCCCUCCAUUUCCCCCUCACAUUUCCCUUUUCCGCCACAUUUCCCUCCCUUUUCCCCCCACAUUCCCCUUCCCGCCAUUUCCCCCGAGUGUCCCCUCAGCAUCCCCUCAGUGUCCCCUCAGUGUCCCCUCAGCGUCCCCCCAGCAUCCCCUCAGCGUCCCCUCAGAGUCCCCUCAGCAUCCCCUCAGCGUCCCCUCAGCGUCCCCUCAGAGUCCCCUCAGCAUCCCCUCAGAGUCCCCUCAGUGUCCCCUCAGCGUCCCCUCAGCGUCCCCUCAGAGUCCCCUCAGUGUCCCCUCAGCAUCCCCUCAGCGUCCCCUCAGAGUCCCCUCAGAGUCCCCUCAGCAUCCCCUCAGAGUCCCCUCAGUGUCCCCUCAGCGUCCCCUCAGCGUCCCCUCAGAGUCCCCUCAGUGUCCCCUCAGCAUCCCCUCAGUGUCCCUCAGUGUCCCCUCACUGUCCCCGCGCUCACCUGCCGCAGGAGCUGCGCCACCACCUUGACCUGCUGGCCGCGGCUGAGCAGGUAGCUGAGCGGCACGGCCGUCACCCGCGCCAUCUCCACCAGCGUCACCAGCGUCAUCAGCCGCUCCAGCAGCCGCAGCGGCAGCAGCGCGUCCUUCAGGCAGUACAGCGCCAGGCGCCGCCGCGUCUGCUCGUCCCCGUUCUGCGGGGACACGGCGGGGACAGCGUCGGGGACAGCGGCGGGGACAGGGGGACAGCGGCGGGGACAUGGGGACAACGUCAGGGACACCAGGACACCGUCAGGGACACCGGCGGGGACGCGGGGACAUCGUUAGGGACAUGAGGGCACCAUCAGGGACACCGGCGGGGACAUGGGGACACCCUUAGGGACAUUGGGGACACCCUUAGGGACAUUGGGGACACCAUUGGAGACACCCUUAGGGACAUGGGGACACCAUUGGGGACAUUUGGGACACCAUUGGGGACAUGGGGACACAAUUGGGGACACCCUUAGGGACAUGGGGACACCAUUGGAGACACCCUUAGGGACAUGGGGACACCCUUAGGGACAUUGGGGACACCACUGGGGACACCCUUAGGGACAUGGGGACACCACUGGGGACACCCUUAGGGACAUGGGGACACCACUGGGGACAUGGGG
rnacentral:lncRNA from 1 species